rnacentral:rRNA from 1 species
CCUACGGGUCGCAGCAGUGGGGAAUAUUGCACAAUGGGCGCAAGCCUGAUCCAGCCAUGCCGCGUGAGUGAAGAAGGCCUUAGGGUUGUAAAGCUCUUUCACCGGUGAAGAUAAUGACGGUAACCGGAGAAGAAGCCCCGGCUAACUUCGUGCCAGCAGCCGCGGUAAUACGAAGGGGGCUAGCGUUGUUCGGAAUUACUGGGCGUAAAGCGCGCGUAGGCGGAUAGAUAAGUCAGAGGUGAAAUCCCGGGGCUCAACCCCGGAAUUGCCUCUGAUACUGUUUAUCUUGAGUGCAGAAGAGGUAAGUGGAAUUCCGAGUGUAGAGGUGAAAUUCGUAGAUAUUCGGAGGAACACCAGUGGCGAAGGCGGCUUACUGGUCUACAACUGACGCUGAGGCGCGAAAGCGUGGGGAGCAAACAGGAUUAGAUACCCCUGUAGUC